ensembl:lncRNA
AAGAAAUUAUUUUUCACAGUGAAGUUGUUUUCAGUAUUUUAACAGACAGACAUAUCCAAUUAUAGUCAUUGAAAAAGUUGCUUGAAGCUGAAUUGUAAGCACUUCAUUUCGCUUAAGUUAUUUUUUUGGUUUGUUUACCUCUAAAAUAUUUGCUUAUCCUGCUCCCCUUUCCACCAAGUACACAGGGUCAAUAUUGUCUUGAAUAUACAAUGUAUUGUGGCAUGAAUCUACUCAGCAACAUUUCAUACUAUCUCCCCACUGAAUGAUAACAGAAAUGUUAUUCAAUCAAUCCUGGGCCAAAAGGGUCUCUUUAGUAUAGUUUUGUUUUGGAUGUGCAUUUCUUCAGAGGCAUGGAUUGGAACAGUGUGGCCAUUCGCCCAUCUUCUGAAGUGUUGUGAUUGGACAGUACAGUGACAAAUGAGGUAAACCUCCUUCCCCUUUUCAGUAUUUUCCUUCUAUCUUUUGCUCAGUGCAAUUUUACCAGGGUAAAUUGAAUUUUGUUUGGCUCAUUCCCCCAUAAAAUUACACCAGCAACAACCACCCUAGAGCAGACUAUUCUCAUAGCGAACCCCUUGCUGUAAUUGUUGGACGCUCCAUCUAAAUUCAGUUUUGUGUCAUUGUGUGUGUUUAUGCUCUUUAGACCAUAUCUGUCACUAUGAGUAUUUGUUUACUUUUUGUUUACCCAAAUGACUUUUUCACAAGAUGUUUUGAGAGACAUUAAAACUUGGUUUUGCAACCAUCUAAUUACUCCAUCAGAGUGAGCAUGUCACAUGAAUAAUGCAAUAAUAAGACAACUGUUUACAUGACUCUGUGAUGUUGCAGAAUGUGUUUAUCUCCUGUUUUUCUUUCUUUAUUUUAAGGCAAGGCAUUUUUCCCAUGAAAACAACUAAUUUUCUUUGGUCUAUUAUCAUACUGCAGUUCAUAUAUGUGUAGUAGUUCAUAGGAUCGUAAAAAUAACCUGUACUUUGCAUGAUUUUUACAGUUGUCUUUUCACCCAAGAUACAAAAUUUACAUUACAUUAAGAAGUGCUUUGCACAGACUUAUGUCAAAAGUUAACUUUCCCAUAGUUAUCAAGAAGCCAUUACUACCACUAUUUCUCAGGCUAGAAAUGUGUUACAUUGCUGUAUACAUUCCUUUUCAUCCCAGGUCAGAAUUGUUUCCUUGUCUGUGUUUUAUUCAGUUUACUGGAAGUGAAUACCUCUUGCCCAAUUGUAUUUGUGAAUGGUCUUUUGGAUGCAUUUCAGACUUCUAUGGCUAUUUAAUGUCACGGUAUGUUUUCAAUAGUUUUGUAAUGCUUUCUUGUGAGCAAAGCACAGGUCCUUUUUUUAAACAGCCAGCUAAACUUUAGGGCUGGGUGUGUUAUAAAAUGUUACAAAUGAAAAUAUUGGAAGGUUUUGUCUUCCUAAUAAAACAACUGACUAAAUCAUUGUUCAUGCAUGAGCUAAGAAAGAAUGCCGCAGUUUUAGUACGCCUGUCGGUUUUAGGCUUUAUGACUUGUUUUCAAGUGUCUUCUCUGAACUUGACUGGCAUUGUACUGUACUUGAUUUGUAAUUUAACUGUACUAAUACUACAUUGCAACAACGGACAUCUUACGUAUUGUGCUGCAUAGGUGAAGAGAAUGUGUUAUGAUGUAUGUUGUAUUUCUCCCACACUGUUUGUCACAUGGUACUGUAACUAUAUUGUAAAAUGACAUAUAUUUUUUUACAUUUAUCAUUAGAACUGUUUGCCUUGUAUAUUGUACCUAAAUAUACAUUGACUCAAGUGAUGAGUUGAUAAAAAUGAAUGCCAUUUCAUCAUUGAAAAUCCAGAGAUUGUAAGGAAAACACUUUUGGGAAAAACAAAAUUCUUUUUUGUAGAGGUCUAAAUAAAUUUGCAUGCAGAAGAACACAUCUCACCUGCAGUAAUCUGGCUGGACGCACAGUAUAAGCCAGCUUGGAUACACUUGAAUAUUCUCUGCCUUAUACGUUCAUUGGCCUGCUCUUGUGUCUAUGCAGGUGAAUACAAGUUCAAACAAGCCACACUAUUCAGAAAUGCCUCACUGCUGUGGAAAUAAACAUUAGCUUGUGUGAUAAAGUGUAUAAAGGAAUGUUAGAGUCUUGAAAUGAUCACAGAUGUCAGUGGAUUCUAUCAAACCAUGGCCCAAAGCAGUAGCUGCCUCAUGCAUUAUUUAUUUGUUUAUUCAUAUGCUUUGUGUCAUGUUAAUACAUUCAUAAUGAAUUUACAAUGCUUAGGCUACAUUUUGGCUGGGUUUUCUUUUUCUACUCCACAGUAUAUUACUUCAGCUUAAAGUAUUGUGUAGAAAUACAUGAUUUUCUCUUAAAUGAUUCUGGUUGUUGCACAAGUUAAAAAAGAAGGGUAAACAAGCAAAUAUAACUUAUACACAUUGCCACCGUAUAACAAAUAUUUCCUUGAGACUGUGCAAUUGCUGUAUUCUCCCUCCAACUAAGUAUUGAUGUGUUGCUCUUAUGAUUAGUGUCAAGGAUUUUGCAACACAAUUGCUGAUAAAUUUCGGAUUGCGGAUGGAUGCGACUGUAACUAGUGGAUUGCAGAAAUUGGGCUAAGGGUCUG